AGCCAUUCCGCGUGAGUGAAGAAGGCCUUCGGGUUGUAAAGCUCUUUCCUCUGGAACGAAACGGUCCGCUCUAAUAUCGUGUGCUAAUGACGGUACCAGCAGAAGAAGCACCGGCUAACUACGUGCCAGCAGCCGCGGUAAUACGUAGGGUGCGAGCGUUAAUCGGAAUUACUGGGCGUAAAGCGUGCGCAGGCGGUUUGUUAAGCCAGAUGUGAAAUCCCCGGGCUUAACCUGGGAAUUGCAUUUGGGACUGCCUGGCUAGAGUGUGGGAGAGGGGGGUGGAAUUCCACGUGUAGCAGUGAAAUGCGUAUAUAUGUGGAGGAACACCUAUGGCGAAGGCAGCCCCCUGGGACAACACUGACGCUCAUGUACGAAAGCGUGGGGAGCAAACAGGAUUAGUUAC
rnacentral:rRNA from 1 species